rnacentral:tRNA from 1 species
ACCUGGGUGGCUCAGUCAGUUGAGCGUCUGACUUGGACUCAGGUCAUGAUCCUGUGGUUCGUGGGUUCGAGCCCCACAUCCGGCU